AGGGCGUACAGUGGAUGCCUUGGCACCGAAAGACGAUGAAGGACGCGACUACCUGCGAUAAUCCUCGGCGAGCUGGAAGUAAGCUUUGACCCGAGGGUCUCCGAAUGGGGAAACCCGAUGCGCGUUAUGGCGCACCACCUGACCGGCCAAUACAUAACCGGCAGGAGACAACCCUGGGAAUUGAAACAUCUAAGUACCAGGAGGAAAAGAAAGAGAAUUCGAUUCCGUCAGUAGCGGCGAGCGAAAACGGAAGAGCCUAAACCACCUUGAGUGGGGUUCGGGAUCACAUCAGUAUAAGUAGACACAAGGAGAAUUACCUGGAAUGGUAAGCCAAAGAGGGUGAAAGCCCCGUACCUGUAAAAAAGCUACUUGUCGUGAUUUCCAGAGUACGGCGGGACACGUGAAAUCCUGUCGGAAUGUGCGGAGACCACUCCGUAAGGCUAAAUACUCUUCGGUGACCGAUAGUGAACCAGUACCGUGAGGGAAAGGUGAAAAGAACCCCGGGAGGGGAGUGAAAAGAAUCUGAAACCGUAUGCCUACAAAAAGUCAGAGGGCGUUAAAGCCUGAUGACGUGCCUAUUGAAGAAUGAGCCGGCGAGUUAUGAACACAUGCGAGGUUAAGGAGAAGAUCCGGAGCCGAAGCGAAAGCGAGUCUUAACAGGGCGACAGUAUGUGUUUGUAGACCCGAAACCCGACGAUCUAGCCAUGAUCAGGAUGAAGUAAGGGUAAAACCUUAUGGAGGUCCGAACCGACGUUCGUUGAAACGCCCGCGGAUGAAUUGUGGCUCGUGGUGAAAUUCCAAUCGAGUCGGGUAAUAGCUGGUUCUCCCCGAAAUAGCUUUAGGGCUAGCCUUGGGACAUUGUUUAGUGGGGGUAAAGCACUGAAUAUGAGCGAGCCGCGCCAAGCGGUAUCAAUCAUAAUCAAACUCUGAAUCCCAUUAGAUGUACCCCAGGAGUCAGACUACGGGAGAUAAGUUCCGUGGUCAAGAGGGCAACAGCCCAGACCGCCGAUUAAGGUCCCUAAAUUCACGCUAAGUGUCAAAGGAUGUAGAGAUACUCAAACAGCUAGGAUGUUGGCUCAGAGGCAGCCAUCAUUUAAAGAAUGCGUAACAGCUCACUAGUCAAGUGUCUCCGCGCCGAAAAUUUACCGGGGCUAAGCGUGAUACCGAAAUCGCGGAUGAAUCCUAAAAAUUCGUGGUAGGGGAGCGUUCUGUUUGCAGUGAAGCCAUAUCGUGAGGAGUGGUGGAGCGUACAGAAGCGAGAAUGCCGGCGUAAGUAACGAUAAAGGGUGAGAAUCCCUUUCACCAAUUGACUAAGGUUUCCUGGGCAAGGUUCGUCCUCCCAGGGUUAGUCGGGACCUAAGGCGAGGCCGACAGGCGUAGUCGAUGGACAGCAGGUUGAUAUUCCUGCACCCGAGCACGCAGUGAUGCAAUGACGAAAACGGCUAUGCUCACCUCCGAUCGGAAGUGGAGGGCAGAGCGUAGGAGUCGAUUCCUUGUUAAGUACGGGAAUCAUUAAGACAAAGACGUGCGGUAUGAAAGUCGCGAGACGAGUAAGAAACAGCAGACGCCGAUUUCCAAGAAAAGUUGCUAACGUUAAACGUGUUCGGCCCGUACCGAGAACGGACACACGUGGUCAAGGAGAAUAUCCUGAGGUGAGCGAGAUAACUGUUGUUAAGGAACUCUGCAAAAUAACUUCGUAAGUUAGCAAGAAGAAGUGCUCCAGCGAUGGAGCCGCAGCGAAUCGGCCCAAGUAACUGUUUACCAAAAACACAGCUCUAUGCUAAGUCGCAAGACGAUGUAUAUGGGGUGACGCCUGCCCGGUGCCGGAAGGUUAAAAGGAGAGGUUAGGAGCAAUCCGAAGCUUUGAAUUGAAGCCCCGGUGAACGGCGGCCGUAACUAUAACGGUCCUAAGGUAGCGAAAUUCCUUGUCAGGUAAGUUCUGACGUGCACGAAUGGUGUAAUAAUUUGGGCGCUGUCUCGACAGCAGACUCGGUGAAAUCUUAAUACCGGUGAAGAUGCCGGUUACCCGCGACUAGACGGAAAGACCCCAUGGAGCUUUACUAUAACUUAAUAUUGAGUAAAUGCGAAUCUUGUACAGUAUAGGUGGGAGACUUUGAAGU
rnacentral:rRNA from 1 species